AUUAGUCUUUUAAUUGAAGGCUUGUAUGAAUGGUUGGACAAAAAGCAAACUGUCUCAGUUGUAAUAAUUGAAUUUAACUUUUGAGUGAAAAGGCUUAAAUAAGUUAGGGGGACGAUAAGACCCUAUAAAGCUUGACAAUAAGCCGUUUAUAUUAUAAAUUGUUAGUAUAACUUGAUUUUAAAUGGUGUUUGUUGCGUUGGGGCGACGAGAAUAUAAAAGAUAACUGUUCUUAUAAUAUUUAAUAACAGAAAUAGCUGGAAAAUUAAUGAUCCUUUCUUUGAGAUCAUAAGAUUAAGUUACUUUAGGGAUAACAGCGUAAUCUUCCUUGAGAGUUCAUAUCGACAGGAAGGGUUGCGACCUCGAUGUUGAAUUAAGGUAUCCUUAUAAUGCAGCAGUUAUAAAGGAAGGUCUGUUCGACCUUUAAAUC
rnacentral:rRNA from 1 species